AUGAACUCGCAGAUGGAGACUAUUCAUCCCUAUAACCAGGUGGAAAACUUUUGCAUCCUAAUUCCAAUUUCGUUAUGUGAAAUCUUACUUCGAGUAAUUGACAAAGUAAAACAGUUUGAGGAUCCACCCGAAGCAAGGCAAGUAUUUAACAAUGUUGUGAAUCCUCCAUGUCAAACCGUAUGUAAUUCUUUCCAAUUUUUGUACAGGCUUCAUUUUUCCCUAUGUUAUAAUGUAAAUACCACUUAUUUCAAUUCCUUUGUCGACCAAAGAUUCUUGGGGACCCAAAAUUGUGUGUAG
rnacentral:lncRNA from 1 species